CCCGUACCGUAAACCGACACAGGUAGAUGAGGAGAGAAUCCUAAGGUGAGCGAGAGAACUAUUGUUAAGGAACUCGGCAAAAUAACCCCGUAACUUCGGGAGAAGGGGUGCCUGCGAAAGCAGGCCGCAGUGAAGAGGCCCAGGCGACUGUUUACCAAAAACACAGGUUUCUGCAAAAGCGAGAGCUGAAGUAUAGGAGCUGACGCCUGCCCGGUGCUGGAAGGUUAAGGGGAAUGCUUAGCGGUAACGCGAAGGUGUGAACUUAAGCCCCAGUAAACGGCGGCCGUAACAAUAACGGUCCUAAGGUAGCGAAAUUCCUUGUCGGGUAAGUUCCGACCCGCACGAAAGGCGUAACGAUCUGGGCACUGUCUCAACAAUAGACUCGGUGAAAUUGUAGUACCGGUAAAGAUGCCGGUUACCCGCAGCAGGACGGAAAGACCCCGUGGAGCUUUACUGUAGCUUGAUAUUGGAUUUCGACAUUGCAUGUACAGGAUAGGUGGGAGGCUAUGAACCUUGGACGCCAGUUUGAGGGGAGCCACUGUUGGGAUACCACUCUUGUAAUGUUGAAGUUCUACCUACGUACCGUGAUCCGGUACUAGGACAGUGUCAGGUGGGCAGUUUGACUGGGGCGGUCGCCUCCUAAAGAGUAACGGAGGCGCCCAAAGGUUCCCUCAGCGCGGCCGGAAAUCGCGCGAAGAGUGUAAAGGCAGAAGGGAGCUUGAUUGCGAGACCAACAAGUCGAGCAAGGACGAAAGUCGGGCUUAGUGAUCCGGUGGUACCGAGUGGAAGGGCCAUCGCUCAACGGAUAAAAGCUACCCCGGGGAUAACAGGCUGAUACCCCCCAAGAGUUCAUCGACGGGGGUGUUUGGCACCUUGAUGUCGGCUCGUCUCAUCCUGGGGCUGAAGCAGGUCCCAAGGGUUGGGCUGUUCGCCCAUUAAAGAGGUACGCGAGCUGGGUUCAGAACGUCGUGAGACAGUUCGGUCCCUAUCCGCUGUGGGCGUUGGAAAUUUGAGAGGAGCUGUCCUUAGUACGAGAGGACCGGGAUGGACAUACCGCUGGUGCACCAGUUGUCUUGCCAAAGGCAUAGCUGGGUAGCUACGUAUGGAAGGGAUAAGAGCUGAAAGCAUCUAAGUUCGAAGCCCCCCUCGAGAAGAGAUUUCCUAGGACUUCGGUCCGGAAGACCCGUGGGAGACUACCACGUAGAUAGGUCGGAGGUGUAAGUGCAGCAAUGUAUUUAGCUGACCGAUACUAAUAGGUCGAACGC
rnacentral:rRNA from 1 species